GCGCUUGUCGUUCAACGGAUAGGACAGAAGAUUGCGGAUCUUCCAAUGGGGGUUCGAUUCCUCCCAGGCGCACAA
rnacentral:tRNA from 3 species